rnacentral:rRNA from 1 species
UGGGGAAUUUUGCACAAUGGGCGCAAGCCUGAUGCAGCGACGCCGCGUGAGGGAUGAAGGCCUUCGGGUUGUAAACCUUUUUCGCUCAUGGUCAAGCCGCAGCUUUGGGUUGUGGUGAGGGUAGUGGGUAAAGAAGCGCCGGCUAACUACGUGCCAGCAGCCGCGGUAAUACGUAGGGCGCGAGCGUUGUCCGGAAUUAUUGGGCGUAAAGGGCUUGUAGGCGGUUGGCCGCGUCUGCCGUGAAAUCCUCUGGCUUAACUGGGGGCGUGCGGUGGGUACGGGUUGACUUGAGUGCGGUAGGGGAGACUGGAAUUCCUGGUGUAGCGGUGGAAUGCGCAGAUAUAAGGAGGAACACCGGUGGCGAAGGCGGGUCUCUGGGCCGUUACUGACGCUGAGGAGCGAAAGCGUGGGGAGCGAACAGG